AUUUCAGCUCCUCUAUCCAUACAUUAUCAUUAAAAGUGUUUUUCAACGGCUGUUUGGUAGCAAUAACUUCGUUUUCGAAUAUUCCGAUAGCUGGUUUCUUAUUUCAAUACUGUUAAAGUAAAUUGCACUAUGAAGGGAACCAGAUGCGGUUGCAUAUUUUUAUAAACAAUUUUGAAGAAACGAAUUUUAAAUUCUCAUUUUACACUUACCACAACUGGGGUCUUGUUUCUAGCAUUCUAAAAAGAAACAGUUUCGACAAAAACUACGGGGAUCAUUUAAUUUUAGAUGUUUGAAGACAUGCAAUAAAGAUUACAGUGCAAAUAAUCAUUUUCCAUGACUAUUCAAGGACUUGUCACUAAAAUAUAGCUUUCCAUGACUUUUAAAGGCCUUUUCCCCCCUAAAUAAAAAUCCAUGACUUUUCCAGGAUUCCAUGCCCCGUACGAACCCUGAAA
rnacentral:lncRNA from 1 species